rnacentral:rRNA from 1 species
CCUACGGGUGGCAGCAGUGGGGAAUAUUGGGCAAUGGAGGAAACUCUGACCCAGCAACGCCGCGUGAAUGAUGAAGGUCUUCGGAUUGUAAAGUUCUUUUCUAAGGGAAGAAGAAAGUGACGGUACCUUAGGAAUAAGCCUCGGCUAACUACGUGACAGCAGCCGCGGAAAUACGUAGGAGGCAAGCGUUAUACGGAAUGACUGGGCGGAAAGGGUGCGUAGGUGGUUUGGCAAGUUAGUAGCGUAACUCCAAGGCUCAACCUUGGAACUACUACUGAAACUGUUGGACUUGAGUGCAGGAGGGGCAACCGGAAUUCCUAGUGUAGCGGUGGAAUGCGUAGAUAUUAGGAGGAACACCAGUGGCGAAGGCGGGUUGCUGGACUGUAACUGACACUGAGGCACGAAAGCGUGGGGAGCAAACAGGAUUAGAUACCCCUGUAGUC